AGAAACAACAUUUAGUUUCGGUUGAAAAUGUUGUAUUUGCCCUAAGGAUGUUUUAGUCUUUUUAUAAUUCUCUAUUGUAUUAUGGUUUGCCUUAGUCUAUUUAUAUGUUGUAUGUUCAGUGUGUGAAAAAUAAGAAAAUCUACUAUCGUGGUUUUUUCUCCUUGAUCUAGGAUUUUCCAUGUAAACUUGCCUUCUUUCUUCUACCCUUCUUUAUUUCAAUAUGAUAUCAGAGCAGGGUGACGAAACCUUAGCCGUCAUUGACGAAGGCACAGCCGACACCGUAGACACCGCCGUUUAAGCUACUGUCGACAGGUACCUUCAGUCGAUAUUCCAGCAGCCGUCGUAGGAAGAUCCAAGCAGUAGUGUGUCAUCUGAUCAAAUCGCAUCGUAUCCAAGCGUGUAGGUCGCAUUGUAUCCAAGCGUGCUGUCCCAGCCGAUUGCGCCUACCCAGAUCGCGCCAACGUCCCUUCAACCGACCCAGCCGCACCUCGCACCAGCCCAAUCGGCGCCGCCUACCCAGAUCGCGUCGGCGUUCCUCCAGCCGCAGCCUGCGCCAGCCCGAUCAUCGACCCAGCUUGCACUGGCGCUUCUUCCUUUUGCGGCAUCUCAGUCGCAUCAGUCCAGCCGAGGUACUUCUGCGCCAGCCUCUCCGUCCCAGCCUACGUCUUUUCACUCGAAUCAGGAACCAUCUGACACGUCGUAUAUGGGUGAAUCCUCGUAUUUUCCGGGUGGACAGCAACCGAAUACAAUAGCCACUCAUCUUCCUCAAUAUGCACCGGCUAGUCAAGGGACUUUGGAUUCGACUAGAUUGUCUCCAAUGGCGGUUCAACAAUAGUUAAUUAGUCUUCAACAACAGAUUGCGACUCUUGGGGCAGCCCUUGGAACGACCGUACAUCCUCAGUCCGACCCAGUAAAUUCAGUUUUGUGUUCUGGCCUACUGAUGUAUUCAAAGAAUCCGAUAACUUCUUUCCCUGCUUUACCUACAACUAAUAUACUGUCUAGAUCUAUGGGAAAUUCUACAGGUUUUAUUAUAGGGGAAAAGUUGAAUGGCCAGAAUUAUUUCUCUUGAUCUCAGUCUAUGAAGAUGGCUCUUGAAAGGCGUCACAAAUUUGGAUAUAUAAUGGGUGAGAUAUCGAGACCUUGACCCGGCGAUCCUCAAGAGUGUGUUUGGAAAGGAGAAGACUUCUUACUUCGCUUAGUGUUAAUCCAGUAUGGAACCAGAAAUAGGUAAACCCCUACUAUAUGCAGCGACUGCUCGGGAUAUUUGGGAUGUCAUCCAGAAGUUGUACUCUAAAUUGCAAAAUGCGUCACGGUUAUACACCUUGCGUAAACAGGUUCAUAAGUGCAAGUAAGGGACUAUGGAUGUUACUUCAUAUUUCAACAAGUUGUCCCUAAUAUGGCAAGAGAUGGACCUGUGUUGAGAGAUCGUCUGGGACCGUCCAUGUGGUGGGGUACAACAUUCAAAACUUAAGGAGGUUGAUCGUGUUUAUGACUUUCUUGCCGGUCUGAACUCCAAGUUUGAUAUAGUUCGUAGUCGGAUACUGGGACAGAGACCGAUUCCUUCUCUUAUGGAAGUGUGUUUGGAAGUCCGGUUGGAGGAAGAUCGAUCAAGCACCAUGAACCCUAGUGCUAACUCUCUUGACUCUGCAGCUUUUGGUGCAAAAUCGUCUGGGUCCGUUAGUAAUACAUAGAAUGGCAGGUCUCCUCCAAUAUGUGAGCACUGCAAAAAACCGUGGCACAUUAAGGAUCAAUGCUGGAAGCUACAUGGUCGACCCCUAAAUGGCAGACGAUGCCCUCCGAACGAUAAGUUAAAAUCUGGCCGAGCACUUGUGAGAAAAUCUACUGUUGGAGCAUCACAGCCUCAAGUGCCUCACCAGAAUGACCAAGUACUGUUGGGGUCGGGUAUGAUUGUCCAGUCAAGUACACCUCAAUCCUUUAGUCUUCUUAUUGAAGGAAAAGACCCGUUGGAUAUUGGAUUCAAGAGCAGCAGAUCAUUUGACUGGCUCAUCUAAUCGAUUCCUCUCAUAUUUUCCAAGUGCUGGUAAUGAGAGGAUUCAGAUUGCAGAUGGAUCCUUUGCUCCUGUUGCAGGAAAGGACUUGAGCUCGGAGACGACGAUUGGCACUGUCCGACAUAACAGGGGCCUCUAUUUCCUUUCUGAUGAUGUUGCCUCUAGGAGUUUUUCUAUGACUAGUUCGUUGUCCUCUUUUUCAACUUCUGAAAAUGAUUAUUUGUUAUGACAUUUCUAUUUAGAUCAUCCAAACUUUCAAUAUAUGAAACAUUUAUUUCCCUAUUUAUUUCAUAGUGUGGAUGUUUCCUCUUUAACUUGUGAUGUGUAUACGUGCAAAACAGCCCCGGGUUUCCUUCCCUUCUCAGCCCUACAAACCUUCCCACUUAUUUCAUCUGGUUCAUAGUGAUGACUGGGGUCCUUCCAACAUCACUACCUUGUCCGAAAAGCGGUGGUUUUGUAACUUUCAUUGAUGAUCACACAUGUCUUACAUGAGUGUUCCUUAUCACUAAUAAGUCUAAAAUGUAGUAUGUUUUUCAACAAUUUUAUGCUACUGUAGAAACGCAGUUUAAUACCAAGAUUGCUAUUCUUCGGAGUGACAAUGACCAUGAAUUUAUUAAUAAUACCAUAUGCGAGUUCCUGACUUCGAAAGGUAUUGUCCAUCAAAUCUCGUGUGCGUAUACUCCUUUACAGAAUGGGGUGGCUAAACGGAAAAAUCAUCACCUCAUUGAAGUUGCCCGGUCCCUCGUGCUCCCUGCAUCUCUCCCCUCGUAUUUAUGGGGAGAUGUUGUUCUAACUGCAACCCCACCUCAUUAAUCGAACGCCCUCCCGAGUUCUCAAAUUUCAGACACCUUUUGAAUGUUUCAAGAAGUCUUACCUAUCCACACAUCUCAUUUCUGAAGUCCCUCUAUAGGUGUUUGGUUGUACCACUUUUGUCCACAGUCACGGCCCUCACCAAACUAAGUUUGCUCCUCGAGCUCAAAAAUGUGUCUUUGUCGGGUAUCCUCUUCACCAGCGGGGCUAUAAAUAUUUACACCCAGCCUCAAGGAAGUAUUUUGUCUCUAUGGAUGUAACGUUCCUUGAGGAUAAGCCCUUCUUUCCCGUUAGUCUUCUUCAGGGGAAGAGUAUUAGUGAAGAGACUAACUUGUCCACAUAUUCUCUUCGUAUGAGUUUUCUUCCUGAACCUAUCCUCGAUACAAAUAAUACUGUUUUUCCUACUAAAGAAGUGCCCUAGAUAAUAUACUACAGGAAGAAUCUUAGAAAGGAAAUAACGCCUCCUGUUGCUUCGCCAGAUACUAUCCAUGAAUCAGAACCAGCACCGACUCAAGUUCAAGAUACCUCUGUUCUUGAUAAUACUGGUAAGUGUGUUGAGGGUGAUGUAAUUGAAAGCGGUGAAACUAUUGAGGUUGUUCCAGGUAAUGCCACGACUACUGAUAGUAAUGGGUCAUCGGGAGAGAUUCAGGAGGAUGAGGACUUGCUACGUAUAAACGGGUGUGACCACUGGCCUAAUAUUAAUGAGUUAGGUAAAGCAAGAGAGUAUGAUGUCACUCUUGAUAUGCCCAUUGCGUUGCAGAAAGGGACCAAGUCAUGUACCAAGUAUUCCAUGCAUAGUUUCUUGUCUUACAGUAACUUGUCUUCUGGGUUUAGAGCCUUCAUUACUAACCUGGAUACUGUAACAAUACCAACUAAUGUGCAUAUGGCCAUGGAAAUUUCGGAAUGGAAGGCAGCAGUUAUGGAUGAGAUGAAAGCUCUUGAGACGAAUAAGAUGUGGGAUCUUGUGGCUCUCCCUAAAGGACAUAAAAUUGUUGGGUGCAAAUGGGUAUUCAUUGUUAAGUAUAAGUCUGAUGGAACACUUGAUAUAUACAAAGCGAGAUUGGUUGCUAAAGGAUUUACUCAGAUGUAUGGGAUUGAUUACUCAGAAACUCUCUCUAGUGGCAAAACUGAACACGAUCGGGUUCUUCUCUCGUGGUUGUUAACAAAAAUUGGCCUCUCCACCAACUUGAUGUGAAGAAUGCAUUCUUGAAUGGUGAAUCAGAGGAAGAGGUUUGAAUCCUUCUCCUGGGUUUGAAGCUCAAUUUGGUUCUCAACUUUGCAAACUUAGGAAAUCCCUAUAUGGUUUGAAACAGUCUCCGCGAGCUUGGUUUGACAAAUUCACCACCUUUGUUAAGUCCCAAAGUUUCAUUCAAGGACACUCAGAUCAUACCCUAUUCACAAAGAAGUCUACAUCAGGGAAGGUGGCAAACUAAAACAGAGAAUGGCAAGUGAAUUUGAGAUUAAAGAUCUCAGGAGUUUAAGAUAUUUUCUUGGAAUGGAGGUGACAAGAUCGAGAGAAGGAAUAUCUGUGGCUCAACAGAAGUAUACCCUUGAUUUGUUGAGAGAAACAGAUAUGAUUGGUUACCUACCGAUACCCCUGUUGAAGUCAACGCUAAGCUAGGAGACUCAGCCGAUGGAAUUCCUGUCAAUAAAGAAAGGUAUCAACGUUUGCUAGGAAAGUUGAUUUAUUUGUCUCAUACUGGACUGGAUAUAUCCUAUGUUGUUAGUAUGGUUAGUCAGUUUAUGCAGGCACCUUACGAAAAACAUAUGGAAGUUGUUGCUCGAAUCCUAAGGUAUUUGAAAUCUACUCCAGGAAAGGGUCUAAUGUUCAGGAAACAUGACAGGAGAUGCAUUGAAGCUUACACUAAUUCUGAUUGGGCAGGGUCUGUUACUGACAGAAAAUCAACUUCAGGAUAUUGUACUUUUGUGUGGGGUAAUCUCGUGACUUGGCAGAGUAAGAAACAGGGAGUGGUUGCUAGAAGCAGUGUUGAAGCAGAAUACAAGGCUAUGAGUCUGGAAAUAUGUGAAGAAAUGUGGUUGAAGGUCUUGUCUGAUCUUCAGCAAGACAGUGACGCACCGAUGAAACUCUAUUGUGAUAACAAGGCAACUAUAAGUAUAACCAACAACCCUGUGCAACAUGAUAGAACUAAAUAUGUGGAGAUCAAUAGACACUUCAUUAAAGAAAGGUUGGAUAGCAGCAAUAUUUGCAUUCCCUACAUUCCUUUUAGUCAACAAGUUGUUGAUAUUCUCACUAAAGGGUUACUAAGGCAAAACUUCAAUACGUGUGUUAGCAAGUUGGGUCUUAUUGACAUAUACGCCCCAACUUGAGGGGGAGUGUUGAAAAUGUUGUAUUUGUCCUAAGGGCGUUUUAGUCUUUUUAUAUCUCUCUACUGUAUUAGGGUUUGCCUUAAGUCUAUUUAUAUAUUGUAUCUGUGGUAAGUCAAUGUGUAAAAAAUAAGAAAAUCUUCUAUC